rnacentral:rRNA from 1 species
GACGAACGCUGGCGGCGUGGAUUAGGCAUGCAAGUCGGACGGUAGGGCUUUAUCGUAAGAUAGAGUUUGAGAGUGGCGAACGGGUGAGUAACACGUAGGAAUCUACCCUUAAGACGGGGACAACCCAGGGAAACUUGGGCUAAUACCGGAUGAGAGUGCGAGAGAUUGCAUUUAAAAAGGAUGGCGAAAGUUGUCGCUUAGGGAUGAGCCUGCGGUCUAUUAGUUAGUUGGUGAGGUAAGAGCUCACCAAGGCGAUGAUAGAUAGGCGGCCUUAACGGGUGGUCGCCCACACUGGGAUUGAGAUACGGCCCAGACUCCUACGGGAGGCAGCAGUUGGGAAUCUUAGGCAAUGGACGAAAGUCUGACCUAGCGACGCCGCGUGAAGGGAAGAAGGCCUUCGGGUUGUAAACCUCUGUCAUGGGGGAAGAAGUAAGUGACGGUACCCAAGAGGAAGCCCUGCUAACUACGUGCCAGCAGCCGCGGAAUGAGUACUAACA